rnacentral:rRNA from 1 species
UGGGGAAUCUUGCGCAAUGGGCGAAAGCCUGACGCAGCGACGCCGCGUGGAGGAUGAAGGUCUUCGGAUUGUAAACUCCUGUUAAGUGGGAAGAAAGGUCUAUUUCUAAUACAGAUAGAAGAUGACGGUACCAUUAGAGAAAGCACCGGCUAAUCUCGUGCCAGCAGCCGCGGUAAUACGAGAGGUGCAAGCGUUAUUCGGAAUUAUUGGGCGUAAAGGGUGCGUAGACGGUACGUUAAGUCAACUGUUAAAUUCUUCGGCCUAACCGGAGGUCGGCGGUAGAAACUGAUGUGCUAGAGGGUGGAAGAGAGAAGUGGAAUUCUCGGAGUAGCGGUAAAAUGCGUAGAUCUCGAGAGGAACACCGAUGGCGAAGGCAGCUUCUUGGUCCAUUCCUGACGUUGAGGCACGAAAGCGUGGGGAGCAAACAGGAUUAGAUACCCUGGUAGUCCACGCUGUAAACGAUGAUCACUAGACGUUAGUUCUGCUUAGCAGAAUUAG